UACGUAGGGUGCAAGCGUUGUCCGGAAUUAUUGGGCGUAAAGAGCUCGUAGGCGGCUCAGUAAGUCGCGUGUGAAAGCUCCAGGCUCAACCUGGAAAGUGCGCGCGAAACUGGCGGACUUGAGUGCCGGAGAGGGUGGCGGAAUUCCCGGUGUAGAGGUGAAAUUCGUAGAUAUCGGGAGGAACACCAGAGGCGAAGGCGGCCACCUGGACGGACACUGACGCUGAGACGCGAAAGCGUGGGGAGCAACAGG
rnacentral:rRNA from 1 species